GCCUGGGGCAGUUUGUCGACCUAGGUGCGAGUAUCUGGCUGCAGCAUGCUUUUCUCUCAUGGACAGGCGGCUAGGGCUGCUGACAUUGGCUUGAUGGUUAGGAGGUAUGCUGAUCCGCUGGCUGUCGUGUCAGAUGGUGUUGGAGUUCACAGAUGCAAAGGGGACAGGUGCUUUGCAUUGACUAAUUACCUGGAGGUGUAUUUAGACUGGAAGCUGCCAGCACUUUGAUGCCUGAGUAUUAGCCACCAGUGAUUGUUUCCAGACCAGGUUGAGUUCAAGCUGGUUUCCAGACUCUUGUUAAAGAGCAUUCUCUGACUUCUGGAUAAGGAUUCAAGUCUCCAGUUAUUUCCUCUGCAUCAAGUUCAAGCUGGCAGCUUCCUGGCUCUUCGGCCAUCCGGAUCAAAUCAUAAGCGAAACCUGUCCACCCUCCAACCAACUCUCAUGCAAGUACCUCCAACCUGUACUCCUCACCAUCAAUCCACUCUCAUCACACAGUCCUGGAUCAGAGCUCCUAAGGAUCUACCUUCACAGAACCACUCCUGCGUUGUGCUCUCAGACCCCACAUCUCUCACCCCUCUGGCAGUCCAUCUUCCUCCCCCAGUACGCAUAGAGAGAAACUGGCUUUACAAUAACUGUUUAUUUCCUCUAGUCUUACCCUCUCCGCAUCUUCUGUGCAGUUGGGGAUUUACCGGUUCAGGAUCUCAAACCCAUCUCACUCCUGUGAAAAAUGUUUUAAACUUUCUAUUUAUCUCCUGAGUGUUAUUCUGCAUGUGGGUCAGAUCAUUAACAAAAACUAUGACAGAAUGUCCUCUUCUCUAUUUGAUUAACUGUCUUGUGAUACUGUCUGUACCCAAAGAUUUAGUGGCAAGUUGCACUUAUCCACUACCAUCUCCACCUGUGUAGUUCCCACCACAACCAAGCUGCAGCUAUCAUUCAUGAUUGGAGCAGUCUAAGGUGAUACUCAAGUCUAGCCUACAGCAUUAAGACAUACUCAGUAAUCCCUCAUGUCAGACUGUAAUGAACUGAGAGCACCUGGAGUGAUGGAUGGUCAUUGUUGCCCACAUUUCUUUAUUUGGCUUCAAGAUCUUCUUCAUCCUGUUACACUCAUUCUUUCAGAUGUGCCCUUUCUCAUUUAUUUCGCAUUGCUCCAUUUGUCUCCAGGUUUCUUCCUAUGUUUACUUUUGACUCCUCCCUCUGGCUUGACUUUAUUCUCAUGGAGGUGAUGAUUGGACCAAUCUCACUACAGCAAGCUCAAAAAGAACAAAAACUAUGAUUACACAAACUAGGUGUUAACAGAUACUGUCUGAUUACAAACACAAAGUGGUGUGGUACAAAAGAUUAUUCUUAAGACUGAACAGUUAUACUUGGAGGUUUGAAUUAAAACAAUGUUCUCAUUAUGCCCAAA